rnacentral:rRNA from 1 species
ACAGGAAGAGUUGUUAGAGAUACAGCAGCCGCUUGCGGUCUGUAUACAGGUGCUGCAUGGCUGUCGUCAGCUCGUGCCGUGAAGUGUUGGGUUAAGUCCCGCAACGAGCGCAACCCCUAUCAUCUGUUGCCAGCAUUUAAGGUGGGGACUCAGAUGAGACUGCCGGUGACAAACCGGAGGAAGGUGGGGACGACGCCAAGUCAUCAUGGCCCUUAUGUCCUGGGCUACACACGUGCUACAAUGGCCGGUACAGAGUGAAGCGAAACCGCGAGGUGAAGCAAAACGCAGAAAGCCGGUCUCAGUACGGAUUGGAGUCUGAAACUCGACUUCAUGAAGUUGGAAUCGCUAGUAAUCGCGCAUCAGCAUGGCGCGGUGAAUACGUUCCCGGGCCUU